AGGAACCUCUGCCUCCCUGGCCAGGCUGCGUCCGCUCCCGCCGACUGACAUCACCCUCGGGUUCGGGGGGCUGAUCCCGGCUGGCUCCUGCCUCUGCGUUAGCCUCCAUUCUUAGAGAUCCAAACCCAGCGGGAGCGGGGAGGGCAGGGAGGCGGGGAUUCGUGGAAAUAGGCCACUUGCUAUUUUUGCAUUCCCUGUCACAGGCAGAGGUGAAAACAGAAUUUCAUCAUUGUAUGUCAUUAGUUUAUGUUGGUGGGAAUUUAGGCCCCCCUUUUUUUUCUCACUCGGAAGAGGGGGGAGGGAAAGAGAACAACACGAUAUAGAAACACAGGCUUCGUGUAGCUGCUCAAUCCUGAAGGGAUUUCGUGGCCUGCAGCUCGUCUGUCAUGUGCUCCCACCGUUCUUUACUGUGAAAGGGAGAGACAGAAAAAUUAUGCAGACGUCUUCCCUCUUGUUAAUUUCGACAAAGUAGGUCAACCUUUGAGUUCCUGGGUCUGUCUGGCCUUGCCUUCCACUCAUAACUGCGUCUCAGGGACUCUUAGAGAAAAACUGCAGAGAUUUGAUUUAUUUCCUUUUCAGGUUUGAAGCAGCUCUGGCCAACACCUCAAAGAUGUGUCAAGAUUUUAUAUCCAGGAUUUAUCUCAUACAUCACUUACUUUGGCAGUAAAAAAAGAGAGGUCUUUGGAUGAUCCUUCCUCCUCCAAAGAGUUCCCCCCCCCCCUUCUUGGCAACAUUAUGGCCAGAGAGUUGAACAUCUAAUACAUCUGUCCUCUGAAAAGGACAAGCCA
rnacentral:lncRNA from 1 species